UUUUUUUUAAAGGAAAGAUUUGCCUGAAAUUUUUUUCAGUUAGAAUAGCUAGGAAGUGGAUGUGAUAUCAAGAUAAUACUCAUAAAAAAUGAGUGGUUUCUGUUUCUUCACUUCUUACUAAUGUCCACAAAAGGGAUGCUUGUGGCUUGUAUGUUGGUUUUAACUGAAAUAACAGUUGUCCUAUUUUGUUUUUUGCUAUUUAGUAUAUAGCAUGUUGUGCAUUCACCCUAUCUGUUGUCCCAU